GUUGCUGUCGUGCGUGGGGACUUGCCAGGUUCUGAGCUCCUUCUUGAAAACCAAGGAGAGGAGAACAACUCAUGGCAAGAACAGAGCAAGGAACCAUCUGGGUUGAUUUGUGCCCGUUUCUCUGGUAGGGAUUGCUUUACACAGACCAUUAGUGAAAGCUCUCUCAACAAGCAUGCAUGAAAUAAAAUGAAAAAUGGCAAAAAUACUCAUGUGCAUUGUAAAGACACUUUGCAGCAAGAGAGCAGCCCAGCCGGAGUCUUCAUCUUCUCUUAAUCUUACUGUAGUUAGACUAAUUGCUCAUAAAAAUUGGGCUAAUUUCUUGCUGUUGGUAUUGUUAUGAAGGAAACAAAGAUAUUGCAAGCAGGAUAUGUUCUCACGAGACAAAACUGCUUUUACUUUUAAUACCCAGAACGUCCAGUCUCAAGCUGGGACCUGUGUCAUGGUAACCAAGAUAUGAGGAAAAAGGCUUGAAAUCAGCCAGAGCACCCAGGGAUCUAGAUAACAGACGGGGAUCUUUUGAAAUGUAAUUCUAAGCAGCAUCCUCAGAGUGAGGAUCUUUGAAAAAUAAAUUGGAAGAAAGUAAGCAGAAAAGAGGAAGGUUAAGUGCUGAAAUGAUGGUGGUCUCCACUGAUGUGCCCUACUGGGUCGUGCCCAGCCUUGAUUUACUCUUGGCAUUAAAGAUGUGUGGCGUAUUUCUCAUAUGGAUUUAUCCACCUUUCACUCCUGGCUGCUAAAUCUUGCUUCUCCUUUUUCUGUUAUAACUGAAAGCUCUCAUGCAGCCGGAAAUCCUUUCCUUCCUUGGGUAUUUAUAGGGUAUUUAUGGGCUGAAGGUAACUUCCUUGUUGAUCCUUUGAUGAAUUAAACACACUGCACUUCUUCAGUAUCCCUUUAUAUGCUGGGAUUUUCAAAACCCCAAGUCUGUCAUGGAAACCUUUACAGUUUUGUAAUGAUGAUGGCAGAAACGGGCACACUGUUACAUCAGUGGUUCACUGUGCAGAAAAUAGCUAUCCUGGAAUCCUGGAAUGACAGAAUUGUAAAGGUUGGAAAAGACCUCCAAGGUCUCCAAGUCCAACCCCAACCAUCCCCACCAUGACCACUUAUAGAAUCAUGGAAUCAUGAGGGUUGGAAAAGACCUCCAAGGUCUCCAAGUCCAACCCCAACCCAUCCCCACCAUGACCACUUAUAGAAUCAUGGAAUCAUGAGGGUUGGAAAAGACCUCCAAGGUCUCCAAGUCCAACCCCAACCAUCCCAACCACAACCACUUAUAGAAUCAUGGAAUCAUGAGGGUUGGAAAAGACCUCCAAGGUCUCCAAGUCCAACCCCAACCAUCCCCACCAUGACCACUUAUAGAAUCAUGGAAUCAUGAGGGUUGGAAAAGACCCCAAGGUCUCCAAGACCAACCCAACCCCUUCCCACCAUGACCACUUGUGUAAUCAUGGAAUCAUGAAGGUUGGAAAAGACCCCAAGGUCUCCAAGUCCAACCCCAACCCAUUCCCACCAUGACCACUUAUAGAAUCGUGAAGGUUGGAAAAGACCUCCAAGGUCUCCAAGUCCGACUUCAACCCAUCCCCACCAUGACCACGAAACCCCCUGGUUUGGAGGUCAGACACCAAGCUGUGGGAUCUGCCU